GACGAACGCUGGCGGCGUGCUUAACACAUGCAAGUCGAACGGAAAGGCCCUGCUUUUGUGGGGUGCUCGAGUGGCGAACGGGUGAGUAACACGUGAGUAACCUGCCCUUGACUUUGGGAUAACUUCAGGAAACUGGGGCUAAUACCGGAUAGGAGCUCCUGCUGCAUGGUGGGGGUUGGAAAGUUUCGGCGGUUGGGGCUGGACUCGCGGCUUAUCAGCUUGUUGGUGGGGUAGUGGCUUACCAAGGCUUUGACGGGUAGCCGGCCUGAGAGGGUGACCGGCCACAUUGGUCCUGCGAUACGGCCCAGACUCCUACGGGAGGCAGCAGUGGGGAAUAUUGCACAGUGGGCGGAAGCCUGAUGCGGCAACGCCGCGUGCGGGAUGACGGCCUUCGGGUUGUAAACCGCUUUCGCCUGUGACGAAGCGUGAGUGACGGUAAUGGGUAAAGAAGCACCGGCUAACUACGUG
rnacentral:rRNA from 1 species